rnacentral:lncRNA from 10 species
CGGGAGCAGCUGGAGCGGGAGCCUGGCUGCGCUACCGCGGCUGCCUCCUGCUGUGCAGGUCCCCGACCCUCUCUCUGUCCUCAUUGCGCCCAGACGGGCCGGCCCAGAGCUCCCGGGUCGUCUUUCGUGUGGCCGCGAGACACUCUUGCACUCCUGUAAUGAGCCUGGCACUGUGAUGAAACACUUUUCCCGUGUCGUUUGAGUGCAUCUUCUCAACAACCCUAGGAGGUAGGUACUGUUGUCACUGUUGUUCCCAUGAGGCUUCAGGAUGUUAAAUUGCUCGUCCAUGGGGCUGUGCUCAUGGCAUUUGGUGCCAGGAAGAAGUUUUCUUUUCUGACAGUGUGCUUUGAUUUGCACAGAAACAAGAGCGUUUUCAUUUUUGCCUUGGCUGCCCUGUAGGUGGGCUACCUUGAGCCUUAGCUUGACCUUUCCUAUAUCACGUUGGUGCCCCUCCCUCACAUGGCCCUUUUCUGUCUUCCCUUUUGUGUUAUCUUUAUUUUAUUCUCUGGAAUAUGACUCAUUCUGAGCCACCGAAAAUUUGGGCAAGUUUUGAAGAAUGAAUGAAAUAUUACACAUUUCCUCUUGAUAUAAUUUCAUAGCUAUCUCUGAAUAUAAAACUUAGAAAAGAAGAUGGGUAGAUGAAAAACUUUUUGAAAAAUGCAAUGAUUAAAGUAGAAUAUUGAUUGUAUGACUUUUUUGGGCUGAGAAAGGUCAUGGAUAGUAUUCAGGUUUUUAAGUUAAGAAUCUGGCUGUUAAUAGAAGUCAGAUACUGUACUUUAACAUUUUAAUUCUUCAUUUUACUCUUAAAAUUAUGAAAACAUACACUGCUAAGGUGAGCUUUCUAACUUUUUUAUGUAGAUAAUGAUGCUUGAAUUGAACAAUUAAAUUAAGGUAAAAUUUAUGACCUAUGUAAUAUGCUUUUCUUAUAUAGAUUUCUUUCUUUCUUUUUUUUUUUUUUUAGAUAGAGUCUAGCUCUGUCCCCCAGGCUAGAGUGCAGUGGUGCAAUCUUGGCUCACUGCAACCUCCACCUCUCAGGUUCAAGUAAUUCUCAUGCCUCCGCCUCCUGAGUAGCUGGGAUUACAGGCAUGUGCUACCACGCCCGGCUAAUUUUUGUAUUUUUAGCAGAGAUGAGAUGAGGUCUCACCAUGUUGGCCAGGCUGGUCUCGAACUCCUGACCUCAAGUGAUCUGUCCGCCCCAGCCUCCCAAAGUGCUGGGAUUACAGGCAUGAGCCACUGUGCCUGGCCCCUUAUUCAGAUUUCUUUAUAGAAUUUAGCAGAAUUACUAAUGUUUAACCUUGGUGAAAAUUGCCUUUGGACAGUCAUUUUAAACUGUGAAGUAUAAGAGACUUCACGUUACCUUUUUAGGCAAAUUUUGAAAAUAACGUAGUAGGAUCCCUUUAUUUAUUUAACUUAUACUAAAGAAAUUUCAAAGGAUUUUACUGUUUUUAAAGAAAAAAUAAUAUUUUUAAUGUCCAUAAGCUGAUUGUGGUUAUAUUAAUGUAUAGAUCAAAUGAAACUGGCUUUUGUUAGAUGUCACUGGUAAAUAAGAUGGUGUGUACAAUGAUUUAUAUCACCAUGUGUGUUUUUAUACAACUCUAGAGUUAGAGAGAUAUUCAUGUAGAAAUUAAUUAUUUUAGCAAAUGCAAAUAUAUUCCCAAAUAGGAAUAUCUGGUAGGCCUCAAACUGUAGAUGGGAAAUGUAAAAAAUUGUACCCUAUACUCUGUUUCCUGGUGGGCUGGCAUACCCCAAAUUCAUUUGGUCAGAAUGAGACAAACUAAGAAGUCCCACAUUAUUAU